rnacentral:rRNA from 1 species
AUUGAACGCUGGCGGCAGGCCUAACACAUGCAAGUCGAAUGGUAACAGGAAACAGCUUGCUGUUUCGCUGACGAGUGGCGGGCGGGUGAGUAAUGUCUGGGAAACUGCUUGAUGGAGGGGGAUGACUACUGGAAACGGUAGCUAAUACCGCAUAACGUCGCAAGACCAAAGAGGGGGACCUUGGUGCCUCUUGCCAUCAGAUGUGCCCAGAUGGGAUUAGCUAGUAGGUGGGGUAACGGCUCACCUAGUCGACGAUCCCUUGCUGGUCUGCGAGGAAGACCGGCCACACUGGAACGGAGACACGGUCCAGGCUCCUACGGGAGGCAGCAGUGGGGAAUAUUGCACAAUGGGCGCAAGCCUGAUGCAGCCAUGCCGCGUGUAUGAAGCAGGCCUUCGGGUUGUAAAGUACUUUCAGCGGGGAGGAAGGGAGUAAAGUUCAUACCUUUGCUCAUUGACGUUACCCGCAGAAGAAGCACCGGCUAACUCCGUG